CCUGUUCCAGUGCCCAACCACCCUCCUGGAUGAAGAACCUUUUUCUAAUAUCCACCCUAAACCUCCCCUGACAACUAUGAUCAUUAAAUGGAUGCAAAUUGUUACCGUUUUAUCCCUGAGUCGUUCUCCAUGGAUAAGAAAAUCAGCACAGCUAUUCUCUUCCUGGGGAAUGACUUUGAAGACUGUGACACAGCUUAGUCCACCCCCUCCAAGUGGUAACCAUCCACCACUUGAGUCAUCCCGGGUCAUCACCACAGCUCGCACUCGUGCAUAACUAUUACUGAAAGAGAUGCAAAAGAAGAAAUUAGUUUUUCAAAAACAGAAACCAGCAAAGUCUAGUUAAAAACAAAACAAAACAACAAACCCAUAACCAAGGUCACAAUAAUUAACACUGUCUUUCCACAACUGUCAUCCUAGAAGAAACCCAUAGACCACACUCUAAAAAAUGUUCCUCUGUACUUUUAUGACUUCAUUAGGACUUUUUGGAGCUCACAUGUAAUUUCUUGUAAAGAAACUUAACCAGAGAAUAUAGUUCCCAAGUCAAAACUGAUAUCCUUCUAAAAACUUCACAGUCAGUAAUCUAGCUAGAGGGUCAGGAAGAGAGUAAGAAUCAACUCCCGAUUUAUUUUAGACUAAUCAUGAAGCCAGUCAGUCACCAUGAAAUUGCACAGAAAAGAGAACAAGAAAGCAGAAAGAGGUCAGGCCUUCUGUCACUGAAAUCUAAACACGAACAGGCUUCUAGCCAGAAAACCCUGCUUCCCUUCAUCCAUCCCUCCUCCCCACACACAUAACCUGUCCUUUGCAAGGGUAGGUCAGGACACACACAUUGUGGGGUUCAACAACAGAACCAGUUACAGAUACUUAAAAUCACUAUUUGCAGUAUCUACUAGCUGGUUCUCUCCUGUAGUGAAAGCAUUUCACAACUGAACAGCUUUUUCCCAUCAUUUAACAUUUUUAUAAAAUACACAAAUGAUGAUCAUGUCAUUACUUAGGAGCCAAAUCGCUUUUUCAGAAAGGAAAAAGAGGUUUUGGUGAUCUCUCUCUCCUUUUAUUUCUUCCUUUUAAAUUAAAUGACAAGUUUUAAUUUUGAUUAUGAAUUUGCCAGUAUAUCAGUUGGAAAACCCCAUGGUUUACCAAGGAUGUUAUAAGAUCCUAUAUUCGAAGUAUGGUUUACUGCAUGAAUGUAACAGUUGAUGAAUGAAUAUUCAAACACCUUAAAUAUGAUUCAUGUUAUCUUUUGCAACAUAUUCUGGAUUGAGGGUUUAAGUACUUAUGCCAGCUGGCAUUAGUGAUGUCAAAUUUAAGGGCUGAAAAGGAAAUAUUAGAAGAGGACAAAGUUAUUCCUUCUGUACAAAAUUACUUGUGAUAAAACCAUUCACCAAGCUACUGUACUUUUAAAAGAUCACUGCUUUAUUUUUUUCCCCCAACUAUACUAAAAUAACCAAGGUAGGCUUUUUUGUGUAAUUAAUAUAUUACAUUCUCACACACACAUAUGAUUCACACAUAUGAUUCAUUUGUGUGUGUGUGUAUAUAUAUAUAUGUAUAUAAAAAGGAAUUCUGCUGCAAGCAUCUAAGCUUAAAUACAUAAUGGUUUGCAAAAUAAAACAAGAUUAUAAAUCUUUAGCUUACAGGCAGCUGAAUUUGUUAAUAGAUUUUGUUUGCCCCCUCCAAGCAAAUCCCAGCCCCCUCCUCUCUCUAAAAAUCACAGUUAAAAUGACAGUUCAGUCAGUGUUUCUCACCAUUUCUGUACCAACUUACUUCAGUAACUACUCAAACACAGCAGACAAAUAUCAUGAAGAAAAAUCCAAUCCUUCUUUGUAUGCAUCUAUCGCAUUCUAAUAUCGGCAAACAAAAAAUGGCUACAUCUUGAUGCUUAAUACUGUUACUGAAAGUUGAAUCAUUCAUUCAUUGGUCUCUAUCACCCUAUUCACUCCAAUACAGGUACAAAUUGUAGUUGUACACUUCAGACACAGGUAGUCUUUCGUCUCAUUUCUCUCAGAAGAGCCUCUUCUGACAGAAACUGAGGACACCGGGACUUUUCUCUGAAAAAGUAAGAAACAGGAUGCACCAACUGGUUAAGCCUACACACUGGUUUUGCUAUUGUCCAUUUAAGUGAAACACAAAUUUAGCUCUGAAGUUAUUAAUUCUAUAAAUUUGGUUGUAAAUCUGAAUAUUAGAGCUUUCUUUUGUAUAUCAACAGACUGCAGCAAGAGUUCAGUUAAACAUUAUUUAGGGAUAUCACAGAACUUAGGCUACAUAAGAAAACUUAAACUAUAACAUAUUAAUUUUUCCUAAAAUGAAACUUUACACUCCACAUUAAUUUUCUUUCCAAGAAUUGCUAAGAAGAUGUAAAGAUGGAGGUUUCUUUAUCAUACCCUGUCAGUGUUGGGGUUUUCCCCCCCUCCCUAUACUGAGAUGUCUAGUCUAAUUAACAAUCUUGUGUUUUGCUUCCCAUAUAUUCCAAGUGGUUUUAAACAUUUAUGCUUUCAAAUAUUUUGGAAAUGGCUACCAAAUCCACUGUAUUAGUGCAAGAGCCAAAAUAAAAUUCCCCAACAGGUAAUAUUUAAUGAAUAACCUCUUAAAUUGAAAUAGUUUUUCCAUACAACCUCCCUGUAAAUUAAAUAGAUAAAUUCAUUACUUUACUUGCAACAAUGCCAAAGACUACAAAGAGAUUUUUUAGUUUUUUAGUUUCUGUUGGUGGCUGGUUUUUAACAUUAUUUUUUAUAUUUGAAUGGAACUCACAAUUGGUAACAAAUGCUAUUUUUAGUGACAAUACAACUGGUUUGCAAUUAGCCAAAAUGCAGUGGCAGGACUUACAAAUGAUUUCCAUUUCCAAAAUCCUCUGUAAACAAAACAGCAUCUGCCCGUCUCGCUACUGGUGUCACCAAAAGCACUCAGAUGUCUUUUAUCUGUAAGUACUAUAACCCCACCUACUCCUGGGAACUUCAGAACAAAUUGCUAAACUGCUGGUCUAGCUUAGCUGUAGGAAAAAGGGCAGACAAGGCUCCAGUGUUUUGCUAACACAGUCUAACGUUUUUACUUCCUCCUGCAUGUUUAGUAGCUCUAUCAGGAAUACCUGAACAAAAGAAAAACCAAAAAAACAGGGCAAUCAGUUGAGCAUUGCUCUUAUGAAGCCUUUUACCGGAGCUACCACGAACAUGAGAAAUGGAGCAUGAAGAGCAGCAUGCAACUGCAGGCCCAAAUCUAGUGUACUGCAGCCAGCUUUUCCUGAGACUCCCUGAUUUUGCUUGUGGUCACUUGCUCUUGAGGCAGAGCAAGGUUUACAGGAAAUGGUAUUCUGGCCAUAGGAGUAUGCUGCUUCCCAAAAGUCAGUGCUGAGCACCAGCGAAAAGUGGGGACAAGAAUGUUGUCCAAGAUCAGUUCCUAACAACGAAGGAAACAGAUCUCUCUCAUGUCUGAAUGCCUCAGUACUGUAAAGUUCCUAUCGUUACCAUCAAGAAACCUGGAUGUGCAAGUGGAAUUCUAAACUGAACCCUAGGAGAAAAUGACGCUCUUAGAUUUGGUAAAAAUAUGGUUUCUUUCAAAGCUGGAAAGCAGGUUUGCAGAAAAGGACCUCAACUUUCAUACGGAUACCAAGCUGAACAUAAGCCAAAAACAUGCCCUGGGGACAAAGGAGGCCAACAAUAUCCCAGCUGCAUUAGAAGUGUUGCCAGCAGGUCUCAGGAGGUGAUCCCGCCCCUCUUCUCAGCACUAGUGAGGCCAGAUCUGGAGAGCUGUGUCCAGUGUUGGGCUCCCAAAUAAUGAAAAACAUGGAGCUCCUGGAGUGGGUCCAGCAGAGUGCAACAAAAAUGAUUAAGGGACUGAAGCAUCUGUCAUAUGAGGGAAAGCUGAGGGAGCUGGGGCUGCUCAGCCUCAAGAAGAAAAGACUCGUGGGUAUCUUAUCAGUGUAUACAAAUACCUGAAGGGAGGGUGCAAAGAGGAUGGAGACAGGCUCUUUUCAGAGGUGCCCAGUCAGAGGACCAGAGGCAACGGGCACAAACUGAAACACAGGAGGUUCCAUUUGAACAUCAGCAACCACUUUUUCACUGUGAGGAUGCCUGAGCACUGGCCAGGUUAUCCAGAGAAGUUGUGGUGUCUCCAUACUUGGAGAGUUUCAAAAGACAUCUGGACACAGUCCUGGGUAAUCUGCUUUAGGAUGCCCUUCCUUGAGCAGGUGUGGACAACAUGAACUCCAGAGGUGCCUUCCAAGUUCAAUUAUUCUUUUUUUAAAAAAUUUAAUAUCAUAUUUCAAAGCACAGCAAUUUCAAUAAUACAAUUUCAUAAAGAUAACCAAUAUGGGUUAAUUUAUGAGAAUUCAUGAUACUUCGAAGCAAGAGUUGUCACUGCGCACAACUGCUAUUUAAACACUUCUGACAAGGGGAAAAAAAAAAGGUGUUCUGAAAAAUCGUGACACACUCUGCUAUGAGAUUACACUAUCUUUGCUGGCAUGCAAGUAACAGCUCCAGGCUGAUCUGCAAAUGUGAAACGGUCAUGGAUCAAGGUUCUCUACCUUUGACUGGCACUUUACACACGUACUUUAACCCUUCCAACUUCUGGUGCAAUAUCCUUCUGUGUUUGUAGCCUUACCCAAAGAGCAUACAUGAAUCACACUUGGCUUUUUAUGGUUCUUAUUAUCCAAAAAGCUAAGCAGAAGAUUUUAUGAUUCUCAGCUAGAGAAGUGCUCAGGAGUACAUAAUACCAAACCAUUUAGCUAAAGUCUGUUUUACUUGCAGAUAGCCUUUUUUGAGUAUUGACUCAAUUUAGAAAAACAAAAUAAUGUCACCGGUAUCACAUGAGUGUAUCGGUGCACCGCUGAUGUUAUAAACCCCUUGUUACUAAAGGUUUAGAGAAUGAGUGCCACCAGCACAAAACAUUAAUGACUUGGCUAAAGCAAAAGAGAUGCAAAUAUAACACAAGUACUAAAGAAGACAUAUUUUACAUCAAGAAAACAUAUGACAGCGCAUAUUUUUUAACAAAGAGGAAAUUGCUGUAAUAGCAGGUACAUGAGGCUCUGCCUAACGUGACUAUUACCUUUCUCCUCUCAAAAUUAUCCCAGCAAAUCAGAGUAUACACCAAACUCUUACACUGGUAGAACUCAAAACUUGGCAGAUUUUCUCCUUUAAGAAAAGAGGCAAAAGGUACUCUUCAGAGUAAACAGCAACCAUACAUGGCCACUAUGCCUAGAAAGUUUAUUUCUGUGAGGAGUUUAGCAAGCAAAGACAUGUAUUUCCAGGGAGAAUUACAUACAAGUGCUGUUACAUUUAGGAUAUUGGUACCUACACUGAUUUACUGAAGAGCUUUGGAUUUUGCCAAAAAACCUGAAUGAAGCACUACUGCUCAAACAAAAAAAAAAAACCCAAAAACGAAAAUAACAACAACAACAAAAAAAAUCUUACAGGAACCUGAACUACCAAGCAAAAUGGCUUGAAACCAAAAUCAUAAAAGGGAAAAGCUACAUGGGAAACUGUAUUACAUAAGGAGGGGAUAACUGGUAUCCUGAAAGAGGCCUGAAGUACAUGAUUACAAUUAUUAUUUAGCAGAAGAGGCUUAUUAAAGAAGGGAUUAGACAGUGUACCUACAAUUCAAAAGGGAAAAUGAGAUACAAAUGAACAAGUGUCCAGAACAGGAAACUGUCAAAACAGUAUAUUGCUCUCAUGAAGUAUUCUCUUGGACACAAUAUCAGAAUUAAAAAAAAAAAUAAUUAAAAAAUAGGAAUGGAGUUCUAAUGCUCCUGUUUUAAUACAGACAAUUUAAGAUUUGUGACCAUGUAAAGUAAUCAAUGUUGCAAGGAAGAAUGGCUACUGCUGUAAGCACUUUUGCAAAGCACAAGAGCACAUGAAGAAUGGAGAAGCUGUUAAGAUGAUCUGAAAACCAUCAAAAUUACAUACAAAGUAGGUAUUUGACAUUUCUGUGAACAACAUUUUAGCUCUGCUCCCCGGCAUCUUUUCUUGUUUAAUAAUUGUAGCUAGUUUCUGUUAGUUCUGUAUGUUAUCGAUGAGCGCGUGUUAAAUGAAGUAAUAUUUUAGCAGACUAAAGAUGACAACGCA